GUGAAUCAUCAAAUUUUUGAACGCAUAUUGCACUCUCUGGUAUUCCGGAGAGUAUGCCUAUUUGAGGGUCAUUUGAAAUAAUAUAAAUUCCAAGAUUUUUCGGAAUUUAAAAUGGGUUGUGCAUUUUUUGUGGUCGCAUAAAAUCGACAACAAGCAAAUUUUCUUGGGUUGCGAGAAGCUUUUAGUUACUUCGAGACUUAACAGGGAACAGGAG
rnacentral:misc_RNA from 1 species